UUGACAGAACUUCUAGUUAGUUUACUGACUUGUUUAAAAAAAAAAAAAAAAAAAGAACAGGUCUUGCAGGGACAGGGUUGGACAGCUACAUGGAAAAAGUUAUCUGGAGCCCUGCUGCCGCAGGAGGAAUGCAGAAAGGCCAUGUGCUCCUCGACCGCCCGCCCGCCCGCCUGCCCGCCCGAAGCACUGGCCUUCCCUCAUCAAAGUCUGAGGUUGACUGUGAGGUUUAUGAACAUUCCCUCUAGAAGCUUGAGGAUUCUUUCUGUGGACUGCAGACUCCCAGAAGAGGCAUUUCAAGGGACAGGAGGGUUCCAAACUCCAAGCCUUCCUCAGAACAGUGUCAUCUCAGAGAUGCAUUUAUGAAAUAAGUUUCAAAGAUGCUAAAGAAGAAAAGGAGGAGGAAGAGGAGGAGAAGGGU
rnacentral:lncRNA from 1 species